rnacentral:rRNA from 1 species
GGGUUGUGAGGUUAAGCGACUAAGCGUACACGGUGGAUGCCCUGGCAGUCAGAGGCGAUGAAGGACGUGCUAAUCUGCGAUAAGCGUCGGUAAGGUGAUAUGAACCGUUAUAACCGGCGAUUUCCGAAUGGGGAAACCCAGUGUGUUUCGACACACUAUCAUUAACUGAAUCCAUAGGUUAAUGAGGCGAACCGGGGGAACUGAAACAUCUAAGUACCCCGAGGAAAAGAAAUCAACCGAGAUUCCCCCAGUAGCGGCGAGCGAACGGGGAGCAGCCCAGAGCCUGAAUCAGUGUGUGUGUUAGUGGAAGCGUCUGGAAAGGCGUGCGAUACAGGGUGACAGCCCCGUACACAAAAAUGCACAUGCUGUGAGCUCGAUGAGUAGGGCGGGACACGUGGUAUCCUGUCUGAAUAUGGGGGGACCAUCCUCCAAGGCUAAAUACUCCUGACUGACCGAUAGUGAACCAGUACCGUGAGGGAAAGGCGAAAAGAACCCCGGCGAGGGGAGUGAAAAAGAACCUGAAACCGUGUACGUACAAGCAGUGGGAGCACGCUUAGGCGUGUGACUGCGUACCUUUUGUAUAAUGGGUCAGCGACUUAUAUUCUGUAGCAAGGUUAACCGAAUAGGGGAGCCGAAGGGAAACCGAGUCUUAACUGGGCGUUAAGUUGCAGGGUAUAGACCCGAAACCCGGUGAUCUAGCCAUGGGCAGGUUGAAGGUUGGGUAACACUAACUGGAGGACCGAACCGACUAAUGUUGAAAAAUUAGCGGAUGACUUGUGGCUGGGGGUGAAAGGCCAAUCAAACCGGGAGAUAGCUGGUUCUCCCCGAAAGCUAUUUAGGUAGCGCCUCGUGAAUUCAUCUCCGGGGGUAGAGCACUGUUUCGGCAAGGGGGUCAUCCCGACUUACCAACCCGAUGCAAACUGCGAAUACCGGAGAAUGUUAUCACGGGAGACACACGGCGGGUGCUAACGUCCGUCGUGAAGAGGGAAACAACCCAGACCGCCAGCUAAGGUCCCAAAGUCAUGGUUAAGUGGGAAACGAUGUGGGAAGGCCCAGACAGCCAGGAUGUUGGCUUAGAAGCAGCCAUCAUUUAAAGAAAGCGUAAUAGCUCACUGGUCGAGUCGGCCUGCGCGGAAGAUGUAACGGGGCUAAACCAUGCACCGAAGCUGCGGCAGCGACGCUGAUGCGUUGUUGGGUAGGGGAGCGUUCUGUAAGCCUGUGAAGGUGUACUGUGAGGUAUGCUGGAGGUAUCAGAAGUGCGAAUGCUGACAUAAGUAACGAUAAAGCGGGUGAAAAGCCCGCUCGCCGGAAGACCAAGGGUUCCUGUCCAACGUUAAUCGGGGCAGGGUGAGUCGACCCCUAAGGCGAGGCCGAAAGGCGUAGUCGAUGGGAAACAGGUUAAUAUUCCUGUACUUGGUGUUACUGCGAAGGGGGGACGGAGAAGGCUAUGUUGGCCGGGCGACGGUUGUCCCGGUUUAAGCGUGUAGGCUGGUUUUCCAGGCAAAUCCGGAAAAUCAAGGCUGAGGCGUGAUGACGAGGCACUACGGUGCUGAAGCAACAAAUGCCCUGCUUCCAGGAAAAGCCUCUAAGCAUCAGGUAACAUCAAAUCGUACCCCAAACCGACACAGGUGGUCAGGUAGAGAAUACCAAGGCGCUUGAGAGAACUCGGGUGAAGGAACUAGGCAAAAUGGUGCCGUAACUUCGGGAGAAGGCACGCUGAUAUGUAGGUGAAGCGACUUGCUCGUGGAGCUGAAAUCAGUCGAAGAUACCAGCUGGCUGCAACUGUUUAUUAAAAACACAGCACUGUGCAAACACGAAAGUGGACGUAUACGGUGUGACGCCUGCCCGGUGCCGGAAGGUUAAUUGAUGGGGUCAGCGCAAGCGAAGCUCUUGAUCGAAGCCCCGGUAAACGGCGGCCGUAACUAUAACGGUCCUAAGGUAGCGAAAUUCCUUGUCGGGUAAGUUCCGACCUGCACGAAUGGCGUAAUGAUGGCCAGGCUGUCUCCACCCGAGACUCAGUGAAAUUGAACUCGCUGUGAAGAUGCAGUGUACCCGCGGCAAGACGGAAAGACCCCGUGAACCUUUACUAUAGCUUGACACUGAACAUUGAGCCUUGAUGUGUAGGAUAGGUGGGAGGCUUUGAAGUGUGGACGCCAGUCUGCAUGGAGCCGACCUUGAAAUACCACCCUUUAAUGUUUGAUGUUCUAACGUGGACCCGUGAUCCGGGUUGCGGACAGUGUCUGGUGGGUAGUUUGACUGGGGCGGUCUCCUCCUAAAGAGUAACGGAGGAGCACGAAGGUUGGCUAAUCCUGGUCGGACAUCAGGAGGUUAGUGCAAUGGCAUAAGCCAGCUUGACUGCGAGCGUGACGGCGCGAGCAGGUGCGAAAGCAGGUCAUAGUGAUCCGGUGGUUCUGAAUGGAAGGGCCAUCGCUCAACGGAUAAAAGGUACUCCGGGGAUAACAGGCUGAUACCGCCCAAGAGUUCAUAUCGACGGCGGUGUUUGGCACCUCGAUGUCGGCUCAUCACAUCCUGGGGCUGAAGUAGGUCCCAAGGGUAUGGCUGUUCGCCAUUUAAAGUGGUACGCGAGCUGGGUUUAGAACGUCGUGAGACAGUUCGGUCCCUAUCUGCCGUGGGCGCUGGAGAACUGAGGGGGGCUGCUCCUAGUACGAGAGGACCGGAGUGGACGCAUCACUGGUGUUCGGGUUGUCAUGCCAAUGGCACUGCCCGGUAGCUAAAUGCGGAAGAGAUAAGUGCUGAAAGCAUCUAAGCACGAAACUUGCCCCGAGAUGAGUUCUCCCUGACUCCUUGAGAGUCCUGAAGGAACGUUGAAGACGA